rnacentral:rRNA from 1 species
GUUAAAAAGCUCGUAGUCGGAUUUCAGAAUUAGGCCCUUCUUCCAAUACGGUUGCUAGUGGUCUUUACUUCCUUAACAGAAUCUUUCAUCUCAUUAAUUUGGGGUGUUUGGGGCCUGUUUCUUUUACUUUGAGAAAAUUAGAGUGUUCAAAGCGGGUUUUCGCCUGGAUAUUACUCUUGGAAUAAUAAUAUAGGACUUUGGUUCUUUUUUGUUGGUGACUUAGAACCGAAGUAAUGAUUGAUAGGGACAGUUGGGGUCAUUCGUACUAUGAAGCGAGAGGUGAAACUCAUGGACCUUUGUAUGACGAACUACUGCGAAAGCAUUUGACUAGGAUGUUCCCGUUGAUCAAGAACGAAAGUUGGGGGAUCGAAGACGAUCAGAUACCGUCGUAGUCUCAACCAUAAACUAUGCCAGCUAGGGAUUGGAGGAAGAUCAUUUUACGUCUCCUUCAGCACCUUAUGAGAAAUCAAAGCAUUUGGGUUCCGGGGGGAGUAUGGUCGCAAGGCUGAAACUUAAAGGAAUUGACGGAAGGGCACCACCAGGAGUGGAGCCUGCGGCUUAAUUUGACUCAACAC